GCUGGAAUAGCUCAGAUGGUAGAGUAUGAGACUCUUAAUCUCAGGGUUGUGGGUUUGGGCUCCGUGUUGGGUCAAAGUUUCCUGC